rnacentral:rRNA from 1 species
ACUCCUACGGGAGGCAGCAGUGAGGAAUAUUGGUCAAUGGAGGGAACUCUGAACCAGCCAUCCCGCGUGUAGGAAGACGGCCUUAUGGGUUGUAAACUACUUUUAUACAGAAGAAACGUACCCUCGUGAGGGUGCCUGACGGUACUGUAGGAAUAAGCACCGGCUAACUCCGUGCCAGCAGCCGCGGUAAUACGGAGGGGUGCGAGCGUUAUCCGGAUUUAUUGGGGUUUAAAGGGGUCCGUAGGCGGAUUAAUAAGUCAGUGGUGAAAUCCCAUCGCUUAACGAUGGAACUGCCAUUGAUACUGUUAGUCUUGAAUGAGGGUGCAGUGGUUGGAAUGUGUAGUGUAGCGGUGAAAUGCAUAGAUAUUACACAGAACACCGAUUGCGAAGGCAGAUCACUAACCCUAAAUUGACGCUGAGGGACGAAAGCGUGGGGAGCGAACAGGAUUAGAUACCCUGGUAGGAUAGCG